UAUCUGGUUGAUCCUGCCAGUAGUCAUAUGCUUGUCUCAAAGAUUAAGCCAUGCAUGUCUAAGUACAAACCUUAAUACGGUGAAACCGCGAAUGGCUCAUUAAAUCAGCUAUGGUUCCUUAGAUCGUCUCAUCCUACUCGGAUAACUGUGGAAAAUCUAGAGCUAAUACGUGCUUACAAGCCCUGACCUCACGGGAGGGCGCAUUUAUUAGAUCAAAACCAAUCGGGGCUUGCCCCGUCUGCUUGGUGACUCUGGAUAACUUUUGUGCUGAUCGCAUGGCCUCUGCGCUGGCGACGUAUCUUUCAAGUGUCUGCCCUAUCAACUUACGAUGGUAGGUGAUAUGCCUACCAUGGUUAUAACGGGUAACGGGGAAUCAGGGUUCGAUUCCGGAGAGGGAGCCUGAGAAACGGCUACCACAUCUAAGGAAGGCAGCAGGCGCGCAAAUUACCCACUCCCGGCACGGGGAGGUAGUGACGAAAAAUAACGAUACGGGACUCUUUUGAGGCCCCGUAAUUGGAAUGAGUACACUUUAAAUCCGUUAACAAGUAUCUAUUGGAGGGCAAGUCUGGUGCCAGCAGCCGCGGUAAUUCCAGCUCCAAUAGCGUAUAUUAAUGUUGCUGCAGUUAAAAAGCUCGUAGUUGGAUCUGAGGACUCGAAUUGGUGGUGCACCAUACGGUGUUACUGCCGAUUCGGCCUACCUAGUCGGUGCUCGCUCUUGGUGUUCUUAAAUUGAAUGCCCUGAUGCCUGCCGGGCAAGUUUACUUUUGAAAAAGAAAUUAGAGCUGCUCAAAGAUGCAGCGCAUUAGAGCGGAAUUACUAUCAGUCAAGAAUAUGGAAUAAUCGGAUAGGACUUCGGUUUCCUACUUUUAUUUUGAGUUAGCGAACCCGUUUUCGCCGUUUAUUGGGUAAUGUUUUAAUUAGCAGAGACAGACGGCCUGGGCAUUUACGUACACUGCGUGUUGUUGAGAGGCUGAAAUUCUUUGGAUCGCCGCAAGCACGACAAUGCAACGAAAGCAGUUUGCCAGGUGUUAUUCAAUUAAUUUUUUAUUAGACGAAGUCAGAGGUUCGAAGACGAUCAUUCGAACCUAGAUCAGAUAAGUAAGUUAUGCCAACUAAAGCGAUUGCAACUUGAUUCCGAGAUCGUUCUUGUUACCUUGACCCUCGGGCAGCACGCCUCCGGCGAAACCAAAGUUUUUAGCGUUCCGGGGAAGUAUGGGCAGCCAGACUGCAGAACCUUACAAGAAUUGACGGAAGGGCACACCACCAGCGUGGUCUGCGGCGUUAUGCCCGGCUUUGAUUUGAACACGGGCAAAACUCACCCGGCGGGCAAAGACUCACUGUCUAGGCACUUG
rfam:Macrostomum lignano uti_cns_0010676, whole genome shotgun sequence.